UACGUAGGGGGCAAGCGUUGUCCGGAAUCAUUGGGCGUAAAGCGCGUGUAGGCGGUUCGGUAAGUCUGCUGUGAAAGUCCAGGGCUCAACCCUGGGAUGCCGGUGGAUACUGGCGGACUAGAGUACGGAAGAGGCGAGUGGAAUUCCCGGUGUAGCGGUGAAAUGCGCAGAUAUCGGGAGGAACACCAAUUGCGAAGGCAGCUCGCUGGGACGUUACUGACGCUGAGACGCGAAAGCGUGGGGAGCAAACAGG
rnacentral:rRNA from 1 species